rnacentral:rRNA from 1 species
UUCCGGUUGAUCCCGCCGGAGGCUAUUGCUAUCGGGGUCCGAUUCAGCCAUGCUAGUUGUACGAGUUCAUACUCGUAGCGAAUAGCUCCGUAACACGUGGUCAAACUACCCUCUGGACCGGGACACCCUCGGGAAACUGAGGCUAAUCCCGGAUACUACUUACACCUUGGAAUAGGGAAAGUCGGAAACGGUCCGCCGCCGGAGGACGUGACUGCGGCCGAUUAGGUAGACGGUGGGGUAACGGCCCACCGUGCCGAUAAUCGGUACGGGUUGUGAGAGCAAGAGCCCGGAGACGGAAUCUGAGACAAGAUUCCGGGCCCUACGGGGCGCAGCAGGCGCGAAACCUUUACACUGCACGCCAGUGCGAUAAGGGGACCCCGAGUGCGAGGGCAUACAGUCCUCGCUUUUCGUGACCGUAAGGUGGUCACAGAAUAAGGGCUGGGCAAGACCGGUGCCAGCCGCCGCGGUAAUACCGGCAGCCCGAGUGAUAGCCACUAUUAUUGGGCCUAAAGCGUCCGUAGCCGGCCGAACAGGUCCAUCGGGAAAUCCACCCGCUCAACGGGUGGGCGUCCGGUGGAAACCAGUCGGCUUGGGGCCGGAAGACCAGAGGGGUACGUCCGGGGUAGGAGUGAAAUCCCGUAAUCCUGGACGGACCACCGGUUGCGAAAGCGCCUCUGGAGGACGGACCCGACGGUGAGGGACGAAAGCUUGGGUCUCGAACCGGAUUAGAUACCCGGGUAGUCCAAGCUGUAAACGAUGCUCGCUAGGUGCCGGCGCAGGCUACGAGCCUGCGCUGUGCCGUAGGGAAGCCGAGAAGCGAGCCGCCUGGGAAGUACGUCCGCAAGGAUGAGACUUAAAGGAAUUGGCGGGGGAGCACUACAACCGGAGGAGCCUGCGGU